rnacentral:rRNA from 1 species
GAUGAACGCUGGCGGCGUGCCUAAUACAUGCCAGUCGAGCGAACAGACGAGGAGCUUGCUCCUCUGACGUUAGCGGCGGACGGGUGAGUAACACGUGGAUAACCUACCUAUAAGACUGGGAUAACUUCGGGAAACCGGAGCUAAUACCGGAUAAUAUAUUGAACCGCAUGGUUCAAUAGUGAAAGACGGUUUUGCUGUCACUUAUAGAUGGAUCCGCGCCGCAUUAGCUAGUUGGUAAGGUAACGGCUUACCAAGGCGACGAUGCGUAGCCGACCUGAGAGGGUGAUCGGCCACACUGGAACUGAGACACGGUCCAGACUCCUACGGGAGGCAGCAGUAGGGAAUCUUCCGCAAUGGGCGAAAGCCUGACGGAGCAACGCCGCGUGAGUGAUGAAGGUCUUCGGAUCGUAAAACUCUGUUAUUAGGGAAGAACAAAUGUGCAAGUAACUAUGCACGUCUUGACGGUACCUAAUCAGAAAGCCACGGCUAACUACGUG